AUUGAACGCUGGCGGCAGGCCUAACACAUGCAAGUCGAGCGAGCGGCGGACGGGUGAGUAAUGUAUGGGGAUCUGCCUGAUAGAGGGGGAUAACUACUGGAAACGGUGGCUAAUACCGCAUACUAUCGGAUGAACCCAUAUGGGAUUAGCUAGUAGGUGGGGUAAAGGCUUACCAAGGCGACGAUCCGUAGCUGGUCUGAGAGGAUGACCAGCCACACUGGAACUGAGACACGGUCCAGACUCCUACGGGAGGCAGCAGUGGGGAAUAUUGGACAAUGGGCGAAAGCCUGAUGCAGCCAUGCCGCGUGUGUGAAGAAGGCCUUCGGGUUGUAAAGCACUUUCAGUUGGGAGGCGUUACCAGCAGAAGAAGCACCGGCUAACUCCGUGCCAGCAGCCGCGGUAAUAC
rnacentral:rRNA from 1 species